UACAACACGGUGGGCAUGCAAAGCAUAAAUUGAAAUGUACUAUGCAACAAAAAUUAUGAUAAUUCAUUUUGUAUAUAAAAGAAGGAGUCUCGGCAGAAUCGUUCUCUUUUCUGUGUGAUCCUCGAACGAAAUUGUAGUGCGCGCGUGUGUAGAGUUCAUUUAUUAGAGGAAUCAUUUCAAAUCUGCUAUAAGUACUUAGUAAAAGAAAGUAGUUAGUAGAAUUAACAAGAUAUGUUUGUGAGUUCAAAGUGUUAAUGUGUAUCCUAUGCUAAAAUAAUUACCACACAAACGAAGAACAAAAACAUCCAAUUAGCCAGAAAUCUAAAGAAAAAGGUAAUAGUGACAUGAUAGCUACAGUGACGUCGCAGGGUAUUUAUUGGUGGUGUUCAGGCCCGAACAAAGGGCCUUUUUCUUCUUGUUCUUCUCCGAGUAUUUCGCAGCACUGAUGUCCGGCAAGAUCGCCGAUAGGCAGCCAGGAGGAUUGGGUACACGGGUAUCGAGUGAACGAAAUGACGGGCGGCCAUCUUGCUAAAUUGCCGAUCGGAGCCGAUACUCGUUCCGCCACCAUCUCAACUGUAGCGGACAGUUCCACGGCCGCUGGUAUCCGUCUUCCGUCAAACCAACAGCAUGCACGAGCAACGAAUCCCAAUAUUCGUCGUGUCACCUACUCCGAUACUCCGUCGUCUUCUCCGGUCUGCAAUCCGGCAGCCAAAUCCAGUCUGCCAUCCGACAUCCACUCGGUGUUGCAAUCCAGCAGCCAAUCUUCGCUAGUAAUCCUGUGAGCAACGCUAGAUGGUGAUCCCACCGUCCACAAAUCAGUACCCGAAACCAAAAACGAUUCCUGAAGCUACAACCACCAAGAUCCGGAUCUAUCCCGUCGAACCAGCAUGAGUAUGUACCCCUGUGUGACGUCACUAAUAAAUAGUUAAAUUGUAA